rnacentral:rRNA from 1 species
CACGUAGGGUGCAAGCGUUGUCCGGAAUUAUUGGGCGUAAAGGGCUCGUAGGCGGUCCGUCACGUCGGGAGUGAAAACUCGGGGCUCAACUCCGAGCUUGCAGUGGGUACGGGCAGACUAGAGUGCGGUAGGGGAGACUGGAAUUCCUGGUGUAGCGGUGGAAUGCGCAGAUAUCAGGAGGAACACCGGUGGCGAAGGCGGGUCUCUGGGCCGUAACUGACGCUGAGGAGCGAAAGCAUGGGGAGCGAACAGG